rnacentral:lncRNA from 1 species
CUGCACUCAAAAGGCUCCAAAAGACACCAAAAUCACCACUUUCUUCCAAAUCGUCCAUGAACUUGUAAACACUCUAAAUAGACUCUAUAUCGUAAUAAUUAGUUAUUAAAACACUUAUAAAUCAUGGCUAAAAUGGGUAAAAUCUAUGGCCUAUCAACUCCUCCAGACUUACCAUUUUGCUUAUUCUCAAGCAAAACAUACAGGCAGUCUCUCUGAAAGAGGUUUGAAAACAGCAGGGACUCACAGAUUUAAAAAUUAUAAUCAUCACUUUAGGAAAUCCUAAUCUCAGAAGCAGAUUAUACCAUAUCCUAGUCUAGCAACCAAAUUCACCUAGUCAACAAUUUAGCAAAUCAUAUCUGACAAUCCCCUCUACCAACCUCAUUUCUUGCAUAAAUAAAAGUGUAGG